rnacentral:rRNA from 1 species
CAAUAGCGUAUAUUAAAGUUGUUGCAGUUAAAAAGCUCGUAGUUGGAUUUGUGGCGUACGGUGUGUUCCGGGCACUUGUUGUCUGAGUAACCUGCUGUUGCCAUCCUUGGGUGGAACCUGUGUGGCAUUAGGUUGUCGUGCAGGGGAUGCCCAUCAUUUACUGUGAAAAAAUUAGAGUGUUCAAAGCAGGCUUAUGCCGUUGAAUAUAUUAGCAUGGAAUAAUGAGAUAGGACUUUUUUGCUAUUUUGUUGGUUUGCGCAAAGAGGUAAUGAUUAAUAGGGACAGUUGGGGGUAUUCGUAGUCCAUAGUCAGAGGUGAAAUUCUUGGAUUUUUGGAAGACGAACUACUGCGAAAGCAUUUACCAAGGAUGUUUUCAUUAA